GAUGAACGCUGGCGGCGUGCCUAAUACAUGCAAGUCGAGCGAACGGACGAGAAGCUUGCUUUUCUGACGUUAGCGGCGGACGGGUGAGUAACACGUGGAUAACCUACCUAUAAGACUGGGAUAACUUCGGGAAACCGGAGCUAAUACCGGAUAAUAUUUUGAACCGCAUGGUUCAAAAGUGAAAGACGGUCUUGCUGUCACUUAUAGAUGGAUCCGCGCUGCAUUAGCUAGUUGGUAAGGUAACGGCUUACCAAGGCAACGAUGCAUAGCCGACCUGAGAGGGUGAUCGGCCACACUGGAACUGAGACACGGUCCAGACUCCUACGGGAGGCAGCAGUAGGGAAUCUUCCGCAAAGGGCGAAAGCCUGACGGAGCAACGCCGCGUGAGUGAUGAAGGUCUUCGGAUCGUAAAACUCUGUUAUUAGGGAAGAACAUAUGUGUAAGUAACUGUGCACAUCUUGACGGUACCUAAUCAGAAAGCCACGGCUAACUACGUG
rnacentral:rRNA from 1 species